GCCUAACACAUGCAAGUCGAACGCGAAAAUUCCUUCGGGAAUGAGUAGAGUGGCGGACGGGUGAGUAACGCGUGGGAAUCUACCUGGUAGCGGGGGAUAACUCGGGGAAACUCGAGCUAAUACCGCAUACGCCCUACGGGGGAAAGGAGGGGAUCUUCGGACCUUUCACUAUCAGAUGAGCCCGCGUUAGAUUAGCUUGUUGGUGAGGUAAUGGCUCACCAAGGCGACGAUCUAUAGCUGGUCUGAGAGGAUGAUCAGCCACACUGGGACUGAGACACGGCC
rnacentral:rRNA from 18 species